GGGGAUGUAGCUCAGCUGGCUAGAGCGCUUGACUGGCAGUCAAGAGGUCGUGGGUUCGAGUCCCAUCUUCUCCACUA
rnacentral:tRNA from 6 species